rnacentral:ncRNA from 1 species
UAAAAGUUUUAUUCUAGCUAAAGAAUUCUCUGUUAGAUUGUUUCACAUGCAAGUAAUUAUGGGAUAGAUACGGAAGUCUAAAAGGUUCUGGAAUAUUUUAUUAUUCACAGUGUUUUGUAUUGGUAGUUCAAGGUAUCUUGGAACCAGUAAUUUUAUGAAUUCCGGCAAAACUCGUGCCAGCCGCCGCGGUUAUACGAAGGGGGUAAGAGUAUUUUAUUGGUUUGUAAUUAGUUUUAUACAAAGAUUAGAAAGGGAGAUUUGUUAGGUGAAAUUUUAAACUUUAAAUUAAUCUGGUCUUGAGUCAAUGAAGUUAUGAAGUUUAGAUGAUAAACUGGGAUUAGAUACCCCAUUAUUCUAAAAGUUAAAAUAAAGCCAGAGUAGUAAUAGUUAUGUUCUUGAAACUCAAAGAAUUUGGCGGUGUUUUAAUCCGGUCAGAGGAACCUGCCCCGUAAUCGAUAAUCCACGUUUAUUUAACUUGGUCUAGUAUUCAGCUUGUAUACCGCCGUCAGAAGAGUGAUUCGGGAGAAUCCCCUCUGGAUUUUUAAUUAAAAAGAAUGUCAGGUCAAGGUGCAGUUUAUGAUCAAGGGGAGGUGGGUUACAAUAAUUUUAAUUAAAUGGAGCUUUUCUUGUAAGAGGGGAGUGAAGGUGGAUUUGGAUGUAAUGAAAAAUAUUAUAUUUUUAUGAUACCGGCUCUAAAACAAGCACACAUCGCCCGUCGCUCUCGUUUUUUAAGGCGAGAUAAGUCGUAACAUAGUAGAGGUACCGGAAGGUGCCUCUAGUAAGU